rnacentral:lncRNA from 1 species
AUUAUUGUGGAAUCAUCUGUCUCCUGAAGUCAUCUUGUGAUAUACGCUGUGGACAGAAAAAGAUUAAAGAAGCAGGCCAGCGAGGGUGUACUUAUGCAACGUGACAAGAACAUGCACAAGGAAGGGUGAUGUCAUAAUGGAUCUCUCUACCCUUCAAGGUAUGAAGGAGUUCAGUCUGACGUUUUUUUGACUGGCAGAGGUGGAAGAGUAGACAUCUGUUCAAAAGAGGGCUGUCAAAGAAUCCGCUCACAGGUGACUUUUGGCAAAUUAACUGCAUCAUUCACACCUUGUAGCCCUCUAGCCCUCAUCUGUGAUAUCUGUGAUCCCAUUCAUCUGCUUUUUUUUUUUUUUUUGGAUGGAGUGGGACAGUGGACAGAGAAGGCAAGUGUAUUCUCUGGUACCCAAGCCAAGUGACAGGAACAAGACAGUCUUCCUGCAGUCUAACAUUGAUCACCAACUAGUA